CUAAGUAUGAUUUAUAAUGUUAGGCCAUAAUAUGUGUAGCUGCGGGUCAAUGUUAGUUACACCUUGUUACAGUCAACAUGCUUUUAUGUCACUUGUUAGAAACACAUGAAAAACAAACAAAAAGAAAAACAUGACAAACAAAUAUCACUGUUUAAGGCAACGAUUAAGACAGUGUAGACAGCUUGUGUCACAGUAACUGCUAAAUUGAGUGCAACAAGGAAGUGGAAGGAUUACAUUCUAUUGCCAUGGAAACUGAAGACAUGUAUGAGGCUAC